rnacentral:snRNA from 1 species
CCCCGAAAAUGGAUGGCG